CCUACGGGAGGCAGCAGUGAGGAAUAUUGGUCAAUGGACGAGAGUCUGAACCAGCCAAGUAGCGUGAAGGAUGACUGCCCUAUGGGUUGUAAACUUCUUUUAUAUGGGAAUAAAACGUUCCACGUGUGGGAUUUUGUAUGUACCAUAUGAAUAAGGAUCGGCUAACUCCGUGCCAGCAGCCGCGGUAAUACGGAGGAUCCGAGCGUUAUCCGGAUUUAUUGGGUGUAAAGGGAGCGUAGGUGGAUUGUUAAGUCAGUUGUGAAAGUUUGUGGCUCAACCGUAAAAUUGCAAUUGAUACUGGCAGGCUUGAGUACAGUUGAGGUAGGCGGAAUUCGUGGUGUAGCGGUGAAAUGCUUAGAGAUCACGAAGAACUCCGAUUGCGAAGGCAGCUUACUAAACUGCCACUGACAUUGAUGCUCGAAAGUGUGGGUAUCAAACAGGAUUAGAUACCCCAGUAGUC
rnacentral:rRNA from 1 species